rnacentral:rRNA from 1 species
ACUACGGGUGGCAGCAGUCGAGAAUCAUUCACAAUGGGGGAAACCCUGAUGGUGCGACGCCGCGUGGGGGAAUGAAGGUCUUCGGAUUGUAAACCCCUGUCAUGUGGGAGCAAAUUAAAAAGAUAGUACCACAAGAGGAAGAGACGGCUAACACUGUGACAGCAGCCGCGGUAAUACAGGGGUCUCAAGCGUUGUUCGUAAUCACUUGGCUUAAAGCGUGCGUAGGCUGUUUCGUAAGUCGUGUGUGAAAGGCGCGGGCUCAACCCGCGGACGGCACAUGAUACUGCGAGACUAGAGUAAUGGAGGGGGAACCGGAAGUCUCGGUGUAGCAGUGAAAUGCGUAGAUAUCGAGAGGAACACUCGUGGCGAAGGCGGGUUCCUGGACAUUAACUGACGCUGAGGCACGAAGGCCAGGGGAGCGAAAGGGAUUAGAUACCCUGGUAGUC